rnacentral:rRNA from 1 species
AACGAACGCUGGCGGCAUGGAUUAGGCAUGCAAGUCGAACGGAUGUAGCAAUACAUCAGUGGCGAAAGGGUGAGUAACACGUGAGUAACAUGCCCCCUAGUUGGGAACAACUCCGGGAAACUGGAGCUAAUACCGAAUGUGGAUGCCAGUUCGCAUGGACUGUCAUCUAAAGAUUUAUCGCUAGAGGAAUGGCUCGCGUCCGAUUAGCUAGUUGGCGGGGUAAUGGCCCACCAAGGCGACGAUCGGUAGGUGGUCUGAGAGGAUGGUCACCCACACUGGGACUGAGACACUGCCCAGACUCCUACGGGAGGCUGCAGUCGAGAAUCUUCCGCAAUGGGCGAAAGCCUGACGGAGCAAUGCCGCGUGCCGGAUGAAGGUCUUCGGAUUGUAAACGGCUGUCACUAGGGACGAAAAAAAUGACGGUACCUAGGGAGGAAGCCACGGCUAACUACGUGCCAGCAGCCGCGGUAAUACGUAGGUGGCGAGCGUUGUUCGGAUUUAUUGGGCGUAAAGGGUCCGCAGGGGGCUGAUUAAGUCUGGCGUGAAAUCUCACGGCUCAACCGUGAAACGGCGCUGGAAACUGAUUGGCUAGAGUAUCGGAGAGGUGAUUGGAAUUCCAGGUGUAGCGGUGGAAUGCGUAGAUAUCUGGAGGAACACCGAGAGCGUAGGCAGAUCACUGGCCGAUAACUGACCCUCAGGGACGAAAGUAUGGGGAGCAAACAGGAUUAGAUACCCUGGUAGUCCAUACCGUAAACUUUGUAGACUAGAUGUGGGAGGAUUCCAACCCUUCCGUGUCUGAGCUAACGCGUUAAGUCUACCGCCUGGGAACUACGGCCGCAAGGCU